UGUGCAAAGGAGAGUGAUUUUCUCAUUU
rnacentral:piRNA from 1 species